CUCAGCUUGGGGGCUUGUCACCCUUCAAGAGCCAUUUCCGCAGGAUGACAGUGGUGACCGCAGCCUUCCAGUAGCUCCUGGGAGGCACAGUGGUGGGUGCCAGAGCUUGUGUCACGUUGGGGGCCUGUGUGACCUCUGACUCCUCAUGUUAGCAUUUGGAAUGUUCAGUGGCUUCCAGCUUGGCUCGGCUCCCACACUCCCAACAGUGGCUGUAAAGGAAGCCCCCUGCGGCCCCAUCCUGCUGUGAGGGCAUGGCGGGCGGGCUCGACAUGUCUGCUUUUGCCCUCGCCCUCGCAGGGAGAGGUUCGUUCCGGCCCAUCCAGUCUUCUCUGACCAAAGCAGCUCUGUCUCGGCCGAUCGUGCCCAAGGUCCUUCCACCCCAGGCCACGAGUCACCUGGCCAGUGCUAUCGACUUAGCAGCUACAAGUGCCGGCAUCCUUUCCGGGAACCCCCUCCCUGCCUUGGACACCGAGGGCUUGUCUGGCAUCUCUCCACUGUCUUCAGACGAGGUGACGGGUGCCAUCUCGGGGCAGGACUCUACUGGAACUCACCAGGAUGGAGACACCCUCCCCACCGUGGGGGGCUCCGACCCAUUUGUCAGCAUCCCUUCGAGGCCUGAGCAGGAGCCAGUGGCAGACAGUUUCCAGGUAGAGUGUGCUCUUGG
rnacentral:sRNA from 1 species